rnacentral:tRNA from 1 species
UAUUAAAGUGGCAGAUUAAUUGCGAAGGAUUUAAGCUCCUUUAAUGAAUUUUCCUUUAAUAA